rnacentral:lncRNA from 1 species
AGGAGAAGGAUCUGAUUGGAGCCCUAAUUUCCAAUUUCUGAUUGAGAGAUGCCCCGAACACCAUAACCGCCGCCGCAUCUCCAGCACUACCCACCCCCCUCCACCUUGCGGUGAUGAUGGUGCAGCAUCGGGGGACCAUCCUUGUCGAAGACAAGAGCCUAGAUCAGCGACGCCCAUUAGAGGCCCUCGGCGAUGUGGUGGCCGAAAAUGUGGACCCAUCUAUAAACCAUCAUUGAGGCUACAGACAGCGAGCUAUCAUGGCCGUGCUCCAGUUAAUAGCAACGACGGAUAUUUUGAAGUUAGGGAUGGAGAAGGCACUGGCGUUGAAUGGAAUAAGGACAAGUUAUAGCGGCUGCCACGGCCACGAUGGGAGAAGAAGAGGAGGGGAAGGAUAGCUACAGGUGACGAUCAAAAAAGAAAGAACAAGAGGAUGAUCUUCUCAAAGAGGCAAGACUAGGAGAAAGAAAGGGGUUUCUCUCUAAAACACCUGGAGCUUCUUAUUCUAGAUCUGCUCCAGUGUAACGAGUACAACUUACAAGAACACACCUAUAGUAAUCACUAAUAAGGGGUUCGGGUAUAAACUGUACAAGCGCGUUUACAAAGAUGUAGAAGGUUCCACGGUACAUCUUUCUUUCUAGAGAGGAAGAAUCCUCUGUAAAUCGUGGCAUUACAAUCCUUGCACUGUAGAUACGAAGAGCUCUCUACCGUCUAAGCAGGAUAUCUUCAAGAUCGAGGGUAAACCAUACGCUAUGAGAGACUUUUGAGUGAACUGCUACCAAGGAGCUGUAAACCCCAUCCUCGAUAUUAAUCAGCGUUUCAUGCUUUCCUUCC